AGCGAACGCUGGCGGCAGGCCUAACACAUGCAAGUCGAACGAACCUUUCGGGGUUAGUGGCGGACGGGUGAGUAACACGUGGGAACGUGCCUCUAGGUUCGGAAUAACUCAGGGAAACUUGUGCUAAUACCGAAUGUGCCCUUCGGGGGAAAGAUUUAUCGCCUUUAGAGCGGCCCGCGUCUGAUUAGCUAGUUGGUUGAGGUAAUGGCUCACCAAGGCGACGAUCAGUAGCUGGUCUGAGAGGAUGAUCAGCCACAUUGGGACUGAGACACGGCCCAAACUCCUACGGGAGGCAGCAGUGGGGAAUCUUGCGCAAUGGGCGAAAGCCUGACGCAGCCAUGCCGCGUGAAUGAUGAAGGUCUUAGGAUUGUAAAAUUCUUUCACCGGGGACGAUAAUGACGGUACCCGGAGAAGAAGCCCCGGCUAACUUCGUG
rnacentral:rRNA from 1 species